CCUCCCGCGUCCACCACCGCAGCGUCAAGGUGGCCAAGGUGGAAUACGUCAGGAAGAAGCCAAAAUUAAAAGAAGUCCAGGUGAGGUUAGAGGAGCAUUUGGAGUGCGCCUGCGCGACCACAAGCCUGAAUCCGGAUUAUCGGGAAGAGGACACGGAUGUGAGGUGAGGAUGAGCCGCAGCCCUUUCCUGGGACAUGGAUGUACAUGGCGUGUUACAUUCCUGAACCUACUAUGUACGGUGCUUUAUUGCCAGUGUGCGGUCUUUGUUCUCCUCCGUGAAAAACUGUGUCCGAGAACACUCGGGAGAACAAAGAGACAGUGCACAUUUGUUUAAUGUGACAUCAAAGCAAGUAUUGUAGCACUCGGUGAAGCAGUAAGAAGCUUCCUUGUCAAAAAGAGAGAGAGAGAAAGAGAGAGAGAAAACAAAACCACAAAUGACAAAAACAAAACGGACUCACAAAAAUAUCUAAACUCGAUGAGAUGGAGGGUCGCCCCGUGGGAUGGAAGUGCAGAGGUCUCAGCAGACUGGAUUUCUGUCCGGGUGGUCACAGGUGCUUUUUUGCCGAGGAUGCAGAGCCUGCUUUGGGAACGACUCCAGAGGGGUGCUGGUGGGCUCUGCAGGGGCCCGCAGGAAGCAGGAAUGUCUUGGAAACCGCCACGCGAACUUUAGAAACCACACCUCCUCGCUGUAGUAUUUAAGCCCAUACAGAAACCUUCCUGAGA
rnacentral:lncRNA from 1 species